rnacentral:misc_RNA from 1 species
GUGAAACCAUUCAUUCUUUACAUGGAUAUUGUUAUGAGCUGAGAAAGGCCAAAAUGCUGAGUGAAAGCUAACAUCAACUUUCUUCCAACUGACCUGCUGUAAGCCGCGUAUCAUUUCCUCUUCCAUAAUUUCAUGAUAUUCCAAUGUGUUCUGCAUGCUGGGUGCAUUUUGGGCUGCCUCUUUUGCUUUGGCUGCCUCAGGAGGGAAAUGAGGACCUUCAGAUGGAACAGCCGAACAGUACUCCAUAUCUACAACAUGCUUGUAGCCAUCUAAAGACCGCCGAGGAGGCUUGCAAAGUUCUGUCUCCCUUCGUAUAGAGGAUGUACGCCAACCAACCAUAUGGUCAUAAGAUACAUUCGCAUAAAGUAGUCGGCAUUUGAAAGCACCAAGGGCUGAUAUGAAGUUACCAUCAUCACUAUCGGAGGCCAUUCGAAGUAGAAGAGGUGGUUUGUUGGGUUUGCCAUCUGUAAGAAAAAGCUGUCUACCAGUUUGACCAACCACAAAGGGAGCAAUUGGUGCUGCAAGUUUCUCUAAGAUCGGAACUCCAAAUAGAAAUGGAAGCUGCUUUUUCCCUCUGACACCAAGGUGUGGUGUUGCUAAGGUGAUAAAAUUGAUUGGUUCCAGGCCAGCAAUUAAUCCUUUCUGCUUGAUGUUUGUAGUAGCUGAAGCAGCAACCAGAUCAUCACUAUAAAGAAGAGCUAGUGCAUAUCUUGCAAUCAAUCCA